rnacentral:rRNA from 1 species
GACGAACGCUGGCGGCGUGCUUAACACAUGCAAGUCGAACGGAAAGGCCCUGCUUUUGUGGGGUGCUCGAGUGGCGAACGGGUGAGUAACACGUGAGUAACCUGCCCUUGACUUUGGGAUAACUUCGGGAAACUGGGGCUAAUACCGGAUAGGAGCUCCUGCUGCAUGGUGGGGGUUAGAAAGUUUCGGCGGUUGGGGAUGGACUCGCGGCUUAUCAGCUUGUUGGUGGGGUAGUGGCUUACCAAGGCUUUGACGGGUAGCCGGCCUGAGAGGGUGACCGGCCACAUUGGGACUGAGAUACGGCCCAGACUCCUACGGGAGGCAGCAGUGGGGAAUAUUGCACAAUGGGCGGAAGCCUGAUGCAGCAACGCCGCGUGCGGGAUGACGGCCUUCGGGUUGUAAACCGCUUUCGCCUGUGACGAAGCGUGAGUGACGGUAAUGGGUAAAGAAGCACCGGCUAACUACGUG